AAAUGAAUAAGUAAUCAUAACCUACUCAUUGUUUUUGCUGAUUUCUUAACUUCUUGAAGAAAAUUCGAAAGUAAAGAUGAAGUUCAUUUAUUCCAUUUUGCUCUUGGUCGUGAUUGUGUCAUCUACAAAUGCGGCAUUGGACGGAGUCGAUUCCAAUCCUUUAGCAACAUUGAACGAUCUUAUUCAAAAAUUUCUUAGCAUGGUGGGUUCUGGCACAAAUCCUCUUGACGGCAACAUCGAUGGCAUUAUCAAUCAAGCUGGACUUGAAGACAUAGCCAAUACAAUUGUCAAUCUUCUCAAGCAAUUUGCAACACUUACCGACACUUUGACUGCAAAAUCCGAUUAAAAACUUUGUCACUUAUGAAAUAAAGAAUUUCACACCAAAA